UGUUCUCCUUCCCCAUUCCGCACGUCCUCUGAUUUCGGCGGCGUUUCUCGUGCUCGUGCUCCCAUGAAACUACAAGGCUCUACUGGAACUGUGCUGAAAAUUCUCGUAUUGUUCACAAAUUUCUGACAGGUAUUUCUGCCAUAAGACAUAGAGGCGGUUAGAUGAAAUUCUACAACCUUGCAAGUUUGCUACUUGGAGAUUUGGCACAAUACAGCUUAGCCAAAUAUAAUGGUAUUAUUGCUGGUGGUAUAAAGUUGAGGCCGAGUUUGGUUACUGAACUAGCAAUUACAUAGUCAAGGAAUGGUGUGGAGACAUUUUUUCUCCGGUUGAAAUGCGAGGAUUUAACAACAUCCAAUUUUCUGGAGAUUCAAAUGCACAUCUGCUCGGAUUCACGUUGCUCAACAUGUUCUUGGGGAAGUAAAAUAAAAUCAUUAUUUCUGAUGAUUAUUGAAAAGCAAAGUGUGCUUUGCUUAAAGGGCUUUACGGAGCUGUUUGCGAUCAGGCGUUUGCCAGAACUUGUUUGUGAAUGACUGGCCUCUAUUACAAUACAAUACAAUACAGUACAGCGAAGCCUGGCUAUGCAUGAAAUUCUUGCAAGAGACAAAAAGCAUGAGAGACAGUUGCAACCUACAAAAGGAUUAAAGAAAAAUCUGGAAACGAGAAGCAGGGAAGGGUUAAAAGGUACAACAACUCCAUCAAUUGAUUCUUCUACUUGUUUCUUUUUUUCCUUUUUCUUUUUCUUUUUCUUUUUUUUUUUUAAGAUUUUUUUUUUCUUUUGGCCUUUGAACCAUAACAACUACAAUAUUUUCCCAUCUCUGUCUACCUGUGGCUACAAAAGUCCAAAAGCUUCUUCCUGCCUUCAACGAUUUCAUCAAUGAAAUCAUCAAGUUGGCAAACAAUAUUCUCAGCUCCAGAUCUCAGUACCCCAAAACAAGCUCUCAAAUUUUCAACCCUUUCUCUAAUUCCAAUCUCUGUUUCCCAUUCCACCACUCCCUGUGACCCCAUCCCCACCCUUCUCUCCAAUUCCGCCCUCAAUUCCUCCAUCGCCAUCUUCGACCUUCUAAACUCGUACAGCAAAAUCCCAGGCCUUCCGUUCAUCUGGUUGAUCUCUCCGGCGACUCUCUCCUGCAAUCUCGCCGUCGAAAUCAUAAAAGCUGAACCGAAGAACAGACACCCUUCAUACCCUCCUCUUACAAAAUUCGAUUCCGGCCAACAGUAAACCAGCCCGUAGAGCAAGAUCAUUAGGAGGAGUGAGCUCACAUUUCUCAUUGCGUACAAAACUCCCCUGAAUCCAUUGAAUCCGUUCAGCUUUGAUUCGAUCGAUACUUUCUCAUCGAACCUCAGAGAUAAAGGUUGAAUUCUUGCUUCCAUCAGUGCUCGAUUCUCCUCCUCCAAUCCCACCGCUUCCCUUCGACACCCUGAUAUUGCCCUAAUCACCUGUAUUUGAAGAGUUGGAAUACUUUUAGAUGAUGAACUCAAUGCUUCCAAACAAAACAGAACUGAACAGAACAAAACAAAAACAAUAAAAACAAAAUACACGAGCAAAAUUUAGAUUGAGAUUAUUUGAGAUGGACCUGGCGAGAAAGUUGUGGACUCAGAUGGCGAUGAGUUUCAAGAGAGGAAGUGAUAUUGAAGCCAGAAGAAUAGAAAUUUUCGAUUCCAGAAAUGCCUGAUUUAAGGACAUGACAGGCGUCCCAAAGCUUAGAGCUUUCAUCCAUGUACUCAUCCAACCACUUCUCCCCCACCGGCAAAUGAAGCUUUUGGACAAGAAGUGUCAAUUGGGAAUGAAAUGAUCGGAGAAGUGAAAGAACCCUUUGAAGGAAUUGGAUUGACAUGAAAUUGUUUGAAAGGUAAACCCGUUCAAGAUCAUCGAUCCCUCGAGUCAGAAAAGUAUAGAAGCCAUUGACAGAGUUGGUGGAGGAGGGAUCCAUUGUGACCUUGUGGGAACUAAAAGGAAAAGGCAGAGAGAGAGAGAGAGAAAAAGAGAGAGAAUUUUUUUUUUUUGGGGGGGGGGGGGGGGUAGAAGUAGAAGAGGGAGAGAAAAGGUUAUUAAGAAGGCUGAUAUUUAAAUUGAAGAAGUAUUGAGAAAAUUAAAAGGAAGGGACUGGGAAGAAUGGGAAUUAGAAACCCAAUUCUAUAUCUUUUUAGAAGCUCAGGUUUCUAAGGUUGAAAAGGAUUGUUGGGAGCAAUGAUGGGUGUUUCCUAUAGGGGGGAAAGGAUGAUUGGUAAUAUGCCAUUUUCAUUGUUAAAUGGGCAGAAAGAAAGAGAACCCAAAAAAUAUUCUAAAAUUCUCAAAUAUUAAUUAAUUUAAAACACUAAGAGAAUUUAUGCAGAGGAAGAGGAAAAUAAAUAAAUAAAUAACCCCCAAAAAGUGAAUAGAGAAGAAAAAAAAAAUCACCUAAACUAAAGUUUGGGCACAUUGGACCACAAAUUCCCUAUGAACUCCCUUCCAAUUUCUUCCUUUUAUCCUCUGCCCUUUAAAGUAGCCCUCAUUUAUUAUUUUUUCAUACAUAAAGUUGAGAAAGAUAGAGAUAGAGAGAGAGAGAAUGAGAAAGAGAAUGGUUGUGGCAUUUAAGUAUUGGGAAUUUUCAUAUAUUUAAGAAAGUGAGAUUUGAGUUUUUAUUGGGUUGGGAAAAUGAUUUAAUCAAAGAGGAUUCAAACAAGUUUUGAUCAGAGUGCUGUUUGGAUUCUUGUUUCCCAUUCUUUCUUUUUUUUUUUCCAAUCCCUCGAGCAACUGAAUUUUGCUUCUUUAACAUCCAAUCUUCCAUUCCAUUGAAAUUUGUGGGUAUGAGAUAGGGAGAAGGGGAAGGUUUUUCUUACUUAUUUAUUUAUUAUUAUUACUAUUUUUAAUAAUCCUAGAUUUUCUUAAUUUCUUUUAUUUUCUUUCAUUGAUUUUUUCAAAAGAGUGAAGUUGGAAUGAUGAGGUUCCUUGUAUAUAAUGCAUUUUUGCAACUUUCUACUAUGCAGAAUCAUUCUUUUUAGGUCUCAAUUUUCUUUCUUUCAUUUUUCAUCCUUUUUUAUUAAAACAAAAUUAUUUAUUUGUAUUGAUCUUUAUUCUUUGAGGGACAAAAUGGAUAUGCUCAUCUUCCCAAGUUCUCUAGCCCACCCCCUUCCCUUCAACUAAUGUUUUCUUACAUUUUUUAUUUUAUCCCACACUAUAAAUAAAGCUGCAUUAACCUUCAACUUUCAAAAUUUGAAAUUAAGGAUAAAUAAAAAAUAUAUAUGUGUGUGUAUUGAUAACCAAGCUCAAAUUCCAUUUUUUGAUUCUAUUUAAAGAAAUAGAGUAUUUUUGUGUAAAAAGAAAAUAUUUAAAAUUCAAACAUUUUUUACUAUUUAUUUUGAAUUAUAUGGUAAAUUUUAUCCUAAUUUGAGAGAGAGAGAGAGAGAGAUAGAGAGAGAGAGAGAGAGAGAUCCCUUUCAAAAAUAAGCCCAUAACUUUGGUAGGUCUUAACUGCGACCUAUCAACUGCAAAUCUACAAAUGAAAUUUCAUGGGUACGAUUAGAUGGGUCCCAAUUAUUUGUUCUUUCUUCAUCCUUAUACAAUUCAAUUUACUAAAUUAAACUGUA